AAAGGGAAACGAAGCGAAGAGACACGGGGGCCCCCCCCCCCCCGGUUUUUUAUGUCCCUUUUUUGUUUCGGGGGCCCCCCCUUUCGUGGCCGCGGGGGGCUCUCACCCCGGGGCCCGCCCCCGCCGGAAACACCACGAACUCUGUCUGAUCUAGGGAAGUGCUGAAUUGAUUGUAUCACAAUCAAUUAAAACUUUCACCAAUGGAUCUCUUGUGUUCCGGCAUCAAUAAAAAACCCACCGAAAUGCGAUAACUAGUGUGAAUUGCAAAAUUCCGUGAAUCAUCGAGUCUUUGAACGCACAUUGCCCCCCCUGGAAUUCCGGGGGGCAGGCCUGUCCAAGCGUCUUUGCUGCCCAUCAGGCAGGGCUGGUGGGUUGGGCCGCCGCCCCCUCUCCGGGGGGGACGGGCCCCAAAGGAAGCGGCGGCACCGCGUCCAAUCCUCGAGCGUAUGGGGCUUUGUCACCCGCUCUGUAGGCCCGGCCGGCGCUUGCCGAACACAAAUCAAUCUUUUUCCAGGUUGACCUCGGAUCAGGUAGGGAUACCCGCUGAACUUAAACAUAUCAAUAAGCGGAGGAA
rnacentral:misc_RNA from 1 species